UGAGGAAUAUUGGACAAUGGGCGCAAGCCUGAUCCAGCCAUGCCGCGUGCAGGAAGAAGCAUCUAUGGUGUGUAAACUGCUUUUGUACGGGAAGAAACACUCCUACGUGUAGGAGCUUGACGGUACCGUAAGAAUAAGGAUCGGCUAACUCCGUGCCAGCAGCCGCGGUAAUACGGAGGAUCCAAGCGUUAUCCGGAAUCAUUGGGUUUAAAGGGUCCGUAGGCGGUUUAGUAAGUCAGUGGUGAAAGCCCAUCGCUCAACGAUGGAACGGCCAUUGAUACUGCUAGACUUGAAUUACUAGGAAGUAACUAGAAUAUGUAGUGUAGCGGUGAAAUGCUUAGAUAUUACAUGGAAUACCAAUUGCGAAGGCAGGUUACUACUAGUGGAUUGACGCUGAUGGACGAAAGCGUGGGGAGCGAACA
rnacentral:rRNA from 1 species